UACAGAGGUCUCAACCGUUGUUCGGAUUCAUUGGGCGUAAAGGGUGCGUAGGCGGUCGUGCAAGUCGGAUGUGAAAUCUCAGGGCUCAACCCUGAAACUGCAUUCGAUACUGCGCGGCUAGAGUGCUGGAGAGGAGACUGGAAUUUACGGUGUAGCGGUGAAAUGCGUAGAUAUCGUAAGGAAGACCAGUGGCGAAGGCGGGUCUCUGGACAGUUCCUGACGCUGAGGCACGAAGGCCAGGGGAGCAAACGGG
rnacentral:rRNA from 1 species